GUUAAGAAUCUUGCACAAUGGGCGCAAGCCUGAUGCAGCGACGCCGCGUGGAUGAUGAAGGCCUUCGGGUUGUAAAGUCCGGUAAGCAGGGAAGAAUAAGCAACGGGUAAUAUUCGUUGUGAUGACGGUACCUGCCUAAAGCCCCGGCUAACUACGUGCCAGCAGCCGCGGUAAUACGUAUGGGGCAAGCGUUGUUCGGAAUUAUUGGGCGUAAAGGGCGUCUAGGCGGGGGAUUAAGUUAGAUGUGAAAGCUAUGGGCUCAACCCAUAAAUUGCAUCUAAGACUGGUUCUCUUGAGUCCGGGAGAGGAGAGCGGAAUUCCAGGUGUAGCGGUGAAAUGCGUAGAUAUCUGGAAGAACACCAGUGGCGAAGGCGGCUCACUGGCUCGAUACUGACGCUGAGGUGCGAAAGCGUGGGGAGCAAACAGGAUUAGAAACCCCAGUGUCC
rnacentral:rRNA from 1 species